CCUACGGGUGGCAGCAGUGAGGAAUAUUGGUCAAUGGGCGCGAGUCUGAACCAGCCAAGUAGCGUGAAGGAUGACUGCCCUACGGGUUGUAAACUUCUUUUAUAAAGGAGUAAAGUGAGCCACGCGUGCCGUUUUGAAUGUACUCGAUGAAUAAGGAUCGGCUAACUCCGUGCCAGCAGCCGCGGUAAUACGGAGGAUCCGAGCGUUAUCCGGAUUUAUUGGGUUUAAAGGGUGCGUAGGCGGAUGUUUAAGUUAGUGGUAAAAUGUCGGGGCUUCACCUUGAUGUGCCAUUGAUACUGUAAGUCUUGAGUUAAGACGAGGUAGGCGGAAUGAGUUAAGUAGCGGUGAAAUGCUUAGAUAUAACGUAGAACUCCGAUAGCGAAGGCAGCUUACCAGACUUCGACUGACGCUGAAGCACGAGAGCGUGGGUAGCGAACAGGAUUAGAUACCCUGGUAGUC
rnacentral:rRNA from 1 species